AUUCAAUGAUGAGGGCAUCUUCGUAAUAAUUCUUUAAAUCUUUCCCAUGCCUCAUACAAGAACUUGUUGUCCAUCUGUUGGAAGGUAGUGAUCUCGUUCUUUAAUUU